rnacentral:rRNA from 2 species
GGGUUGUGAGGUUAAGCGACUAAGCGUACACGGUGGAUGCCCUGGCAGUCAGAGGCGAUGAAGGACGUGCUAAUCUGCGAUAAGCGUCGGUGAGGUGAUAUGAACCGUUAUAACCGGCGAUUUCCGAAUGGGGAAACCCAGUGUGUUUCGACA